UACGUAGGGGGCAAGCGUUGUCCGGAAUGACUGGGCGUAAAGGGAGUGUAGGCGGCUCAUCAAGUUAGAUGUGAAAUCCCGCGGCUUAACCGCGGAACUGCAUCUAAAACUGGUAAGCUGGAGUGCAGGAGAGGUGAGUGGAAUUCCUAGUGUAGCGGUGGAAUGCGUAGAUAUUAGGAGGAACACCAGAGGCGAAGGCGACUCACUGGACUGUAACUGACGCUGAGGCUCGAAAGCGUGGGGAGCAAACA
rnacentral:rRNA from 1 species